rnacentral:ncRNA from 1 species
UUAUCUUCAGGGCAGGGUGAGUGUUAACAAUUCCCGACCGGCGGUAAAGUCCGCGAAGAUCGAAAGAUCUUGAUUUGGUGAAACUCCAAAACCGACAGUAAAGUCUGGAUGGAAGAAGAGA